UACGUAGGGUGCAAGCGUUAAUCGGAAUUACUGGGCGUAAAGCGUGCGCAGGCGGUUUUGUAAGUUUGUCGUGAAAUCCCCCGGGCUCAACCUGGGAAUUGCGAUGGAGACUGCAAGGCUAGAAUCUGGCAGAGGGGGGUAGAAUUCCACGUGUAGCAGUGAAAUGCGUAGAGAUGUGGAGGAACACCGAUGGCGAAGGCAGCCCCCUGGGUCAAGAUUGACGCUCAUGCACGAAAGCGUGGGGAGCAAACAGG
rnacentral:rRNA from 1 species